AGUUCUACUGCAGACGGGGACCGCGUGCUGCGCUCGCACCCAGCCCGAGCGGGCCUGCUGACCUCUUCACCUGCACUGGCCUGACUCAGGGCAAUGGGGUCUUCGUGAAUUUUCACCUGUUAUUUCUCUCAUUAUGGAUGAGGCUGAGUAUCUGAUGUGCUGGGACCACCCACAUUUCCUUCUUCAAAGAAACUGUCCAUAGUCUUUGUUCUUUCCUUUUGAGUGGCUGGCAAAUGUCUUCCUGGUUCAUAGGAACUCCAUACCUAUUAGGAAAAUUACACUUCGGGAGAGAGAUUGUAUAAGAUAUCCGUGGUUUCCGAUGGAGUGGCGGCUGGUUUUGCUGACACACGUCUCAGACCCACCUGGAAUUUACUAGGACGCAGGAGAUAAGUAGGGUUUACCUUUGUGUUUUCCCAAGUGGCUGCCCGGUUGCAUCAACCCCCUUUAUUGGAUGGCUCAUCUUUUGCCCACUGCUGGGAAAUGUUCCUCUGCAUGUACGAGAUGAGUGUGUUGGCUAUCAGGGAGAAUAUUUCUACUUAAAGAAUGUCCGGCUUCUACUGAGCACUAGAAACAGUGCUGGUAAGGACGUGGUGGCAUCGGAAUGCUGUGCGCGGCUGGGCGGAUGUGCUCUGGGGCAGCCGUGAGGGAGGGCGUCUGGAGGUCCCUCAAACAACUAGAACAGUUACCAGAUGAUCUGGCAAUUCGAGUUCUGGGUAAACACCCGAAAGAACUGAAAGCAGGGUUCUGAAGAGAUAUGUGUUCACCCGUGUUCACAGUAGCGCUAUUCACAAGAGCCAAGAGAUGGAGGCCACCCAGUGUCUGCGGAUGGGCAGACCCGAGGCAGUGUGCACACGAACGCAGCAUCACGCAGCCCUAAAAAGGAAGGACAUUCUGGGGCACCUGGGUGGCUGUUGGUUAGGCAUCUGACUCUCAGUUUUGGCUCAGGUCAUGAUCUCAGGGUCAUGGGACCUAGCUGCGUCAGGCUCUGUGCUCAGCACUGAGUCUGCCUGAGAUUCUCUGUCUCUCUCCCUCCGCCCCUCCCACUUGUGUGCACGCAUUCUCUCUCUCUCUAAAAUAAAUAAAUAAAUUAAAAAAAAAAAAAAAAAGGAAGGAAGUCCUGACACCUGCUACCACACGGAUGAACCCCGAUGACGUGACAUCCAGGGAAACAAGCUGGACCCAGGACAAAUCCUGUAGGA